rfam:Biomphalaria glabrata isolate BB02 linkage group LG78i unlocalized genomic scaffold LG78i_random_Scaffold227, whole genome shotgun sequence.
AUGGCUGAGCGGUAGAGCGCUUGGCUUUCGAACUAGGGUCCCGGGUUCGAAUCCUGGU